rnacentral:rRNA from 1 species
UACGAAGGGGACUAGCGUUGUUCGGAAUCACUGGGCGUAAAGCGCACGUAGGCGGAUAUGUCAGUCAGGGGUGAAAUCCCGGGGCUCAACCUCGGAACUGCCUUUGAUACAGCAUAUCUUGAGUCCGGUAGAGGUGGGUGGAAUUCCUAGUGUAGAGGUGAAAUUCGUAGAUAUUAGGAAGAACACCGGUGGCGAAGGCGGCCCACUGGAUCGGUACUGACGCUGAGGUGCGAAAGCGUGGGGAGCAAACAGG